AACAGCGGAGAGUUUGAUCCUGGCUCAGGAUGAACGCUAGCGGCAGGCUUAACACAUGCAAGUCGAGCGGCAGCGGGGGAGGAGCUUGCUCCUCCCGCCGGCGAGCGGCGCACGGGUGAGUAACACGUAUGCAACCUGCCUCUGUCAGGGGGACAACCCGCCGAAAGGCGGGCUAAUCCCGCGUAUAUCCCCGGAGGGCAUCCUCCGGGGAGGAAAGGCUUCAAGCCGGACAGAGAUGGGCAUGCGGCGCAUUAGGCAGACGGCGGGGUAACGGCCCACCGUACCGACGAUGCGUAGGGGUUCUGAGAGGAAGGCCCCCCACACUGGUACUGAGACACGGACCAGACUCCUAC
rnacentral:rRNA from 1 species